rnacentral:ncRNA from 1 species
UAGGAGUUUUAUUCUUGCUUUUCCUUUCAGUUUUUGCUUGUUCUAUAUGUAAGUUUUUGCGUGGUUUUUUCUUGUGUUUCUAGAUGGGGCUGGGCCGGUGGUAGGUCUUUAAGGGUUUGUGUUUAUUUUCAUUAGUUAUUAUUGGUUGAUCAAAUAUUUUUGUGUCUAGCAAUUCAUUUUUAGUUUCGGUUAAAUUUUGUGCCAGCAGCCGCGGUUAUACCUUGGAGGCGUUUGAAUGUGUUUGGCUUUGGUAGUUUUAUGUGAUAUUUAUUUGUUGGUCUUAUUUUGAUUUGUUUGUUGGGUGAAAUUUUUAUUUUUUUAGGGGGGUUUUGUUGUUUUUUUGGAAGCUAUGAAACUCUUAUUUUAGACUAGGAUUAGAUACCCUAUUAUUUUUGAGUGUUAAUUUUUUUUGCUUGAGUAGUAUUAGUUUAUGUUCUUGAAACUUAAAGAAUUUGGCGGUAUCUUAUUCCAUUCAGAGGAACCUGUCUCGUUAUCGAUAGUCCGCGUUGGACCUUACUUAGGGUUUAUUGGUUUGUAUACCGCCGUUUAUUGAUUAUCUUUUUAGAGUUGUUUAAUUUUCUUGUUUCUUUAUUUUGAUUUAUUUCAGGUCAAGGUGCAGCUUUUUCUAAGUGGUAUGAUGGGUUACAAUGUUAUUUGUUGUUUGGAUUAUGUGUUUUUAUACGUGUAUGAAAUUGGAUUUGGUUGUAAUGUUUUGUAGAUUGUUUUCGUGAUAAUUGGUUCUGAGAUAUGUACACAUCGCCCGUCGCUCUCGUUUCGUUUUGUUAAUGAGAUAAGUCGUAACAAAGUGGCUGUACCGGAAGGUGUGGCUGGAAUGAUU